UCCCUGGUGGCUCAGAGGGUAAAGCGUCUGCCUACAAUGUGGGAGACCUGGAUUCGAUCCCUGGCUCGGGAA
rnacentral:tRNA from 1 species